rnacentral:rRNA from 1 species
AGAGAGAGACAUGCGCGCAUAUCAAUAAGCGGAGGAAAAGAAACUAACUAGGAUUCCCUCAGUAACGGCGAGUGAAGCGGGAAGAGCUCAAAUUUGAAAUCUUCAAGGUUCUACCUUGACGAAUUGUAGUUUAAAGAAGUGUUUUCUGUUGGAGUUUUGGUAAAAGUUCUUUGGAAUAGGACAUCAUAGAGGGUGAGAAUCCCGUAUUUGACCAUUAUUUCCAGCUUUGUGAUACACUUUCAAAGAGUCGGAUUGUUUGGGAAUGCAGUCCAAAAUGGGUGGUAAAUUUCAUCUAAAGCUAAAUAUUGGCGAGAGACCGAUAGCGAACAAGUACCGUGAGGGAAAGAUGAAAAGAACUUUGAAAAGAGAGUUAAACAGUACGUGAAAUUGUCAAAAGGGAAGCGUUUGACACCAGUGUUGUUUUUCUCGAAAAUCAAUUAAAAAAGGCCGGAUUUUGUGUUGUAUUGACCUUAAAAGCCUUCUUCACUCUUUUCUUGUCUUUUUUAAUGCACUUUUCGUUUAACAAGUCAACAUCAGUUUCUUUUGUUGUAAAAGAGUCAUUGGAAGGUGGCUUUCACUUCGGUGAAAGUGUUUAUAGCCUUUGGCCUCUGCAAUCGGAGAGAUUGAGGUCUGCAGCGUAGAUCCUUCGGGGUUAGAUACAUUUGUGCUAAGUUAUAGCCUUUCAUAGACAACUUGUUGACUAUGAUCAGUCAUGUAGCUUACUCGCUUAUGCUAUUUUACCUACGCUUAGGAUGUUGACAGCAGUAUAGACUGU